AUUGUAGUACAUACAAAUUACGAAAGCAAAAAAUUAUGGCGGUAUUUUAAGCUUUUCAGAGGAAUUUGCUCUUUAAUGGAUAAAACACCUAAAUCUUACUUAAAUUUGUUAAUACAAUUUGUAUACCACUAUUAAAAUAAUUAUUAACUUUAAUUAUUUAAAUUUACAAUAAAUAAAAAAAAUUAAGUCAAGGUGCAGUAUAAAUUUAAGAAUGAAGUGAAUUACAUUUCUUUUAAGAGAGGAAAAAUUAAAAUGCAGUUAGGAUUUGAAAGUAAAAUUAAAAUAGAAUGUUAAUUUGAAUCAAGCUCUAAAAUAUGUAC
rnacentral:rRNA from 1 species